rnacentral:lncRNA from 1 species
ACGGCAUCACCGCAGCCAUUGACCGGACCACCUUAACCAUUGACAAGCAUAACCAACGUACGAAGAAACUGACCUAGAUGGCUGGAGCCUGCACAUAAUAUUUCAGACUUUUGGCACCCAUCUGGAAACUUGGAACAGCAGUCAGCCUGUUGAGGAGGUAAUUUCCUUGAUUCAUUUUGAAAAUGAAAAGCCACAGGGUUGGAGGCAAGGGUGGUCCUGCUUCCCAGAAGGGCCCUCAGGCUCCUCCCUGGGUUUCCUCAGCAGGGAAGGUACUGACUUGCAGAUCCAGGGGCUCCUCCCAGCCCUGGAGAGCUACACAGGGGCCAGGCUCUCAGUUAUCAGGAGUGGAGGGCUGUGGUACAGGGAAGGGAGCCCCUGUACCCUCCUGCUGCAGGAGCCGGGGGUGACGAGUGUGGAGACAGCUCUGUCAGCCUGGCCUGUGUGUCUGGGGCUCCUGCAGGUGUGGACAGGCAUGUCCUCAAAGCAUGGUUGGCGUCCCAUCACGUACAACUGCAGGCAACGGGACCUCAAAGACGCUCUGGCACCUUCCCCCACUGGGUUCCUCAGGGCCCUUCAGAUUUUGCUCAGCAUCUCCUGUCCCCACCUCUGCCUUUCCCUUGCACCCUAGGGAGAGAAGUGUGAGCCGAAGGACAGGUGACUUGCUUUCCUCAGCUGACCCUUCUGCUUGGAAGGUGGGAAGGUUACAGAAGGGGCAUCUUGACUAAAGGGAGCAAAGCCGUUGUGUCCAUUGUGGAGGCCGAGAAAAAUCAAGGCCAUUCCACCUCAAGUUUAGCAUUAGCACAAGUACAGCCAACUUAGGCCCCGGUGAAUAAGAGCUGAACUUUAUAGGAAAAACUGCAGAAUGUCCUCAAUGUCCUCGGCAGAGAAUCCCAUAUCAGAAAGACAACAGAGCCCACGCCCAUAAUAGAAAGUCCCAUAUUAGAAAGAACAGAGCUCAAUGCCCUUGAAAGCCCGACAUCAGAAUGUAAACAGAACUUGAGAAAUUCCUCCACCCCUUCUGAAAAUCCCCUAGACCACCCUAUAAAAAAACCAGCUGUAACCCCCUUCUGCAUCCAAGUCCCUGCUCCGCUGUGUUGCGUAUACUUGGACCCAAGAUCGAGCUUGUAAAUAAACCUUUGUGUGUUUGCAUCCGUGUCAGCUCCUUGGUGGUUUCUCGGAUUUACGAUCUUGCGCACAAUAUCCAUCUAGUUGUAGGGUACAGAAACCCAGCUGGAUGUGGGGGACAGUCAGGGCCUCACAGGUUUUCCUGAAAGUGCUCCAAAAGCCCAACACCACUGCCCCAGGCUGCCCCACCCUUGCCUGACCAUGCAGCAGGUGCAGGAGGUCAGUGAGGCUGACCCUUGUUCGGAAGCUCUGGGGCACUUGCCCUGGGAGGGGUGGGGGCAGGCAGAAGGGCACGCCUACCUCUGGGUGUCCCUCACACGAAGAGCUGUCAUUACAAACCCCAAGAGAAGUGCAUCAGUUACAGCAGUUACAGGCCCCAAAAGGACAAGGUGUGCAUUGCAGCUCCUAUCAGAAAUUCCCCACCUCUGCAGUCCAGCCAAUGAAAAACCAUUACUGUCCUGAAUUGCCCUUCUCUUAUCCCUGAAUACACCCGUUUUUCCUCACAAAGUAACAAUUUUACUUUUACUGGUGUUCAUUUGCCAACAUACAGAAUAACACCCAGUUCUCAUCCCGUCAAGUGCCCACCUCAGUGCCCACCACUCAGUCCCCCCACCCCCACCCACCUCCCCUUCCACCACCACUAUUUUGUUUCCCAGAGUUGGAGUCUCUCAUGUUCUGUCUCCCUUUCUGAUAUUUCUUACCCAUUUCUUCUCCCUUCCCCUCAAUUCCCUUUCACUAUUAUUUAUAUUCCCCAAAUGAAUCAGACAAUAUAAUGUUUGACCUUCUCCAAAUGACUUAUUUCACUCAGCAUAAUACCCUCCAGUUCCAUCCACAUUGAAGCAAAUGGUGGGUAUCUGUCAUUUCUAAAGGCUGAGGAAUAUUCCAGUGUAUACAUAAGCCGCAUCUUCUUUAUUCAUUCAUCUUUCGAUGGACACCGAGGCUCCUUCCACAGUUUGGCUAUUGUGGACAUUGCUGCUAGAAACAUCGGGGUACAGGUGCCCAGGCAUUUCAUUGCAUCUGUAUCUUUGGGGUAAAUCCCCAAGAGUGCAAUUGCUGGGUCAUAGGGCAGGUCUAUUUUUAACUCUUUGAGGAACCUCCACACAGUUUUCCAGAGUGGCUGCACCAGUUCACAUUCCCACCAACACUGCAAGAGGGUUCCCUUUUCUCCGCAUCCUCUCCAACAUUUGUGGUUUCCUGCCUUGUUAAUUUUCCCCAUUCUCACUGGUCUGAGGUGGUAUCUCAUUGUGGUUUUGAUUUGUAUUUCCCUGAUGGCAAGUGAUGCAGAGCAUUUUCUCAUGUGCAUGUUGGCCAUGUCUAUGUCUUCCUCUGUGAGAUUUCUGUUCAUGUCUUUUGCCCAUUUCAUGAUUGGAUUGUUUGUUUCUUUGGUGUUGAGUUUAAGAAGUUCUUGAUAGAUCUUGGAAACUAGCCCUUCAUCUGAUACGUCAUUUGCAAAUAUCUUCUCCCAUUCUGUAGGUUGUCUUUUAGUUUUGUUGACUGUAUCUUUUGCUGUGCAAAAGCUUCUUAUCUUGAUGAAGUCCCAAUAGUUCAUUUUUGCUUUUGUUUCUUUUGCCUUCGUGGAUGUAUCAUGCAAGAAGUUGCUGUGGCCGAGUUCAAAAAGGGUGUUGCCUGUGUUCUCCUCUAGGAUUUUGAUGGAAUCUUGUCUCACAUUUAGAUCUUUCAUCCAUUUUGAGUUUAUCUUUGUGUAUGGUGCAAGAGAGUGGUCUAGUUUCAUUCUUCUGCAUGUGGAUGUCCAAUUUUCCCAGCACCAUUUAUUGAAGAGACAGUCUUUCUUCCAAUGGAUAGUCUUUUCCUCCUUUAUCGAAUAUUAGUUGACCAUAAAGUUCAGGGUCCACUUCUGGGUUCUCUAUUCUGUUCCAUUGAUCUAUGUGUCUGUUUUUGUGCCAGUACCACACUGUCUUGAUGAUCACAGCUUUGUAGUACAACCUGAAAUCUGGCAUUGUGAUGCCCCCAGAUAUGGUUUUCUUUUUUAAAAUUCCCCUGGCUAUUCGGGGUCUUUUCUGAUUCCACACAAAUCUUAAAAUAAUUUGUUCUGUCUGAAGAAAGUCCAUGGUAUUUUGAUAGGAAUUGCAUUAAACGUGUAAAUUGCCCUGGGUAACAUUGACAUUUUCACAAUAUUAAUUCUGCCAGUCCAUGAGCAUGGAAUAUUUUUCCAUCUCUUUGUGUCUUCCUCAAUUUCUUUCAGAAGUGUUCUGUAGUUUUUAGGGUAUAGAUCCUUUACCUCUUUGGUGAGGUUUAUUCCUAGGUAUCUUAUGCUUUUGGGUGCAAUUGUAAAUGGGAUUGACUCCUUAAUUUCUCUUUCUUCAGUCUCAUCAUUAGUGUCUAGAAAUGCCACUGACUUCUGGGCAUUGAUUUUGUUUCCUGCCACGCUACCAAAUUGCUGUAUGAGUUCUAGCAAUCUCGGGGUGGAGACUUUUUACUCUACUUUCUAUGUAGAGUAUCAUGUCAUCGGCGAAGAGGGAGAGUUUGACGACUUCUUUGCCAAUUUGAAUGCCUUUAAUGUCUUUUUGUUGUCUGAUUGCUGAGGAUAGGACUUCUACUACUAUGUUGAAUAGCAGUGGUGAGAGUGGACAACCCUGUCUUGUUCCUGAUCUUAAGGGAAAGGCUCCCAGUGCUUCCCCAUUGAGAAUGAUAUUUGCUGUGGGCUUUUCGUAGAUGGCUUUUAAGAUGUCGAGGAAUGUUCCCUCUAUCCCUACACUCUGAAGAGUUUUGAUCAGGAAUGGAUGCUGUAUUUUGUCAAAUGCUUUCUCUGCAUCUAUUGAAAAGAUCAUAUGGUUCUUGUAUUUUCUCUUGCUGAUAUGAUGAAUCACAUGGAUUGUUUUACAUGUAUUGAACCAACCUUGCAUCCCCCGGGGAUAAAUCCUACUUGGUCAUGGUGAAUAAUUUUCUUAAUGUGUUGUUGGAUCCUAUUGGCUAGUAUCUUGUUGAGAAUUUUUACAUCCAUGUUCAUCAGGGAUAUUGGUCUGUAAUUCUCCUUUUUGGUGGGGUCUCUGUCUGGUCUUGUGGGGGAGGGGCCUGUUGUGCUGAUUUUCAGGUGUUAGCACUUGGGGGAGCUGCUCAGCCCCCUGCCUGGUGCAGGGCUCAG